rnacentral:rRNA from 1 species
GGUAUGAAAGGGUUAACGAAGAAGGUGCUGUGUCUAAAAAUUCAAUUUAAACUAACUUUAAGGUGAAGAGGCCUUUAUGUAAAAGAAGGACGACAAGACCCUAUGAAGCUUUAUCUUAAUUGGAGCUCUCAGGCUCUUAUACGAUUUUGAUGGGAGAUCAGUAGAAAGAAGUCUUCUACUAUCAUAUUAAUCUCACUAGUAUUUCCUAACUUUAUAUGUGUGGCUAGCUACUCUAGGGAUAACAGCGCAAUUUCUCCCGAAAGAUGGUAUUGGAGGGGAAGAUUGCGACCUCGAUGUUGGCUUUAGAUAUCCUAGAGGCGUAGAAGCUUCU